UGUUAAAUGUUACUCUCGUAGCAGAGAAGAGAAGAGAAGAGGUGGAAGCGGAAGCUAAGAUGUUUGAAUGAAAAUGUGGCGAAGCCGUUCGAUCGACCAGCAUUUGAGGACAAUGGUGUUUCGAUUAUCUUCUCCUUCUUUCUCAUCAACGGCUUCGGCUCUCACUAGACAAUUCUCCUGCGCAAACCCUUGUUUUGUAGCUCCAAGCUCUCUUCACUGUCUAUCCCUUACAAAAACCCUAAAUUUCCAGCGAAGUGUUCUUUCUUUGAUACUAAAGCAUAGAAAUCGUAGUUUCAGUUCCAAUCGCCUCGGUGUCCUUGUCGUUCGAUGCCUCUCCUCGACUUCUUCCACGCACUCAUUGGACUGGAACGAACCAGUUUCCUGCUCGGAGGUUGGCGAUGGAUACGACAGUAAUGUAAACGAGGACGUAAACGAGGUGGAUACGAGGUCAUCCAUUCCUGUUAGAGCUUAUUUCUUCUCCACAAGUGUUGAUCUAAGAAGACUUGUUGACCAGAACAAAGCUAAUUUCAUUCCACCUACUUCCCGUAUGACCAAUUAUGUGGUCCUUAGAUUUCGAGGCACUAAACUCGAUACAAAUGGAUCAGAGGCUAGCUUAAGUGGGAGUGACUGCUGCUACAUGGUGGUUUUUCAGUAUGGAUCUAUAGUGUUAUUUAAUGUUUUUGAUCAUGAUGUUGAUGGGUAUCUGAAGAUCGUAGAAAGGCAUGCUUCAGGAUUGCUUCCAGAAAUGCGAAAGGAUGAGUAUGAGGUGAGGGAGAAGCCAACUUUAAAAACAUGGAUGCAAGGUGGGUUGGACUACAUAAUGUUGCAGCAUUUGAACAUUGAUGGAAUUCGUACUAUUGGUAGUGUGCUUGGUCAAAGUAUUGCACUUGAUUACUAUGUUCGCCAGGUUGAUGGAAUAGUUGCUGAGUUUACUGACAUAAAUCGUGGGAUGGAAAAAACUGGCACCUUUACAAUGGAAAGGAAAAAACUUUUUCAACUAGUGGGAAAGGCAAAUUCGAACCUAGCUGAUGUGAUUCUUAAACUUGGGCUUUUCGAGAGGCUUUUGCAGAUCAGACAUCGCUUGGAAAGAUGCUAAGUAUGCUCAAAUAUGGGAGUAUCUUCGAGAUGAAUUUGAAUUAACUCAGAGAUUUGCAAGCCUUGAUUUUAAGUUGAAAUUUGUGGAGCAUAAUAUUCGUUUUUUGCAAGAAAUUCUUCAAAACAGGAAAUCAGAUUUUCUGGAGUGGCUUAUCAUCAUAUUGAUUGGUGCUGAGAUUCUCAUCUCUGUUUAUGAUAUUGCACAUAAAUCAGCAAUUACUUCGCUUUAGCGCUUCAAGAUGCUUAAAAGCAAAUUGAAUACUGAAUUGGAUUAAAGGUUAGAAGUGCAGCAUUUUCACUUUGUAUCAGAUUUUUGCUUCUU